rnacentral:rRNA from 1 species
GACGAACGCUGGCGGCGUGCUUAACACAUGCAAGUCGAACGGAAAGGCCCUGCUUUUGUGGGGUGCUCGAGUGGCGAACGGGUGAGUAACACGUGAGUAACCUGCCCUUGACUUUGGGAUAACUUCAGGAAACUGGGGCUAAUACCGGAUAGGAGCUCCUGCUGCAUGGUGGGGGUUGGAAAGUUUCGGCGGUUGGGGAUGGACUCGCGGCUUAUCAGCUUGUUGGUGGGGUAGUGGCUUACCAAGGCUUUGACGGGUAGCCGGCCUGAGAGGGUGACUGGCCACAUUGGGACUGAGAUACGGCCCAGACUCCUACGGGAGGCAGCAGUGGGGAAUAUUGCACAAUGGGCGGAAGCCUGAUGCAGCAACGCCGCGUGCGGGAUGACGGCCUUCGGGUUGUAAACCGCUUUCGCCUGUGACGAAGCGUGAGUGACGGUAAUGGGUAAAGAAGCACCGGCUAACUACGUGCCAGCAGCCGCGGUGAUACGUAGGGUGCGAGCGUUGUCCGGAUUUAUUGGGCGUAAAGGGCUCGUAGGUGGUUGAUCGCGUCGGAAGUGUAAUCUUGGGGCUUAACCCUGAGCGUGCUUUCGAUACGGGUUGACUUGAGGAAGGUAGGGGAGAAUGGAAUUCCUGGUGGAGCGGUGGAAUGCGCAGAUAUCAGGAGGAACACCAGUGGCGAAGGCGGUUCUCUGGGCCUUUCCUGACGCUGAGGAGCGAAAGCGUGGGGAGCGAACAGGCUUAGAUACCCUGGUAGUCCACGCUGUAAACGGUGGGUACUAGGUGUGGGGUCCAUUCCACGGGUUCCGUGCCGUAGCUAACGCUUUAAGUACCCCGCCUGGGGAGUACGGCCGCAAGGCUAAAACUCAAAGGAAUUGACGGGGCCCCGCACAAGCGGCGGAGCAUGCGGAUUAAUUCGAUGCAACGCGUAGAACCUUACCUGGGUUUGACAUGGAUCGGGAGUGCUCAGAGAUGGGUGUGCCUCUUUUGGGGUCGGUUCACAGGUGGUGCAUGGCUGUCGUCAGCUCGUGUCGUGAGAUGUUGGGUUAAGUCCCGCAACGAGCGCAACCCUUGUUCACUGUUGCCAGCACGUUAUGGUGGGGACUCAGUGGAGACCGCCGGGGUCAACUCGGAGGAAGGUGGGGAUGACGUCAAGUCAUCAUGCCCCUUAUGUCCAGGGCUUCACGCAUGCUACAAUGGCUGGUACAGAGAGUGGCGAGCCUGUGAGGGUGAGCGAAUCUCGGAAAGCCGGUCUCAGUUCGGAUUGGGGUCUGCAACUCGACCUCAUGAAGUCGGAGUCGCUAGUAAUCGCAGAUCAGCAACGCUGCGGUGAAUACGUUCCCGGGGCU